rnacentral:rRNA from 1 species
GAUAAACGCUGGCGGCGUGCCCAAUACAUGCAAGUCGAGCGAACGGACGAGAAGCUUGCUUCUCUGAUGUUAGCGGCGGACGGGUGAGUAACACGUGGAUAACCUACCUAUAAGACUGGGAUAACUUCGGGAAACCGGAGCUAAUACCGGAUAAUAUUUUGAACCGCAUGGUUCAAAAGUGAAAGACGGUCUUGCUGUCACUUAUAGAUGGAUCCGCGCUGCAUUAGCUAGUUGGUAAGGUAACGGCUUACCAAGGCAACGAUGCAUAGCCGACCUGAGAGGGUGAUCGGCCACACUGGAACUGAGACACGGUCCAGACUCCUACGGGAGGCAGCAGUAGGGAAUCUUCCGCAAUGGGCGAAAGCCUGACGGAGCAACGCCGCGUGAGUGAUGAAGGUCUUCGGAUCGUAAAACUCUGUUAUUAGGGAAGAACAUAUGUGUAAGUAACUGUGCACAUCUUGACGGUACCUAAUCAGAAAGCCACGGCUAACUACGUGCCAGCAGCCGCGGUAAUACGUAGGUGGCAAGCGUUAUCCGGAAUUAUUGGGCGUAAAGCGCGCGUAGGCGGUUUUUUAAGUCUGAUGUGAAAGCCCACGGCUCAACCGUGGAGGGUCAUUGGAAACUGGAAAACUUGAGUGCAGAAGAGGAAAGUGGAAUUCCAUGUGUAGCGGUGAAAUGCGCAGAGAUAUGGAGGAACACCAGUGGCGAAGGCGACUUUCUGGUCUGUAACUGACGCUGAUGUGCGAAAGCGUGGGGAUCAAACAGGAUUAGAUACCCUGGUAGUCCACGCCGUAAACGAUGAGUGCUAAGUGUUAGGGGGUUUCCGCCCCUUAGUGCUGCAGCUAACGCAUUAAGCACUCCGCCUGGGGAGUACGACCGCAGGGUUGAAACUCAAAGGAAUUGACGGGGACCCGCACAAGCGGUGGAGCAUGUGGUUUAAUUCGAAGCAACGCGAAGAACCUUACCAAAUCUUGACAUCCUUUGACAACUCUAGAGAUAGAGCCUUCCCCUUCGGGGGACAAAGUGACAGGUGGUGCAUGGUUGUCGUCAGCUCGUGUCGUGAGAUGUUGGGUUAAGUCCCGCAACGAGCGCAACCCUUAAGCUUAGUUGCCAUCAUUAAGUUGGGCACUCUAAGUUGACUGCCGGUGACAAACCGGAGGAAGGUGGGGAUGACGUCAAAUCAUCAUGCCCCUUAUGAUUUGGGCUACACACGUGCUACAAUGGACAAUACAAAGGGCAGCGAAACCGCGAGGUCAAGCAAAUCCCAUAAAGUUGUUCUCAGUUCGGAUUGUAGUCUGCAACUCGACUACAUGAAGCUGGAAUCGCUAGUAAUCGUAGAUCAGCAUGCUACGGUGAAUACGUUCCCGGGUCU